GACGAACGCUGGCGGCGUGCUUAACACAUGCAAGUCGAACGAAGAGCGAUGGAAGCUUGCUUCUAUCAAUCUUAGUGGCGAACGGGUGAGUAACGCGUAAUCAACCUGCCCUUCAGAGGGGGACAACAGUUGGAAACGACUGCUAAUACCGCAUGCGAUCUGACCUCGGCAUCGAGGAUAGAUGAAAGGUGGCCUCUACAUGUAAGCCAUCACUGAAGGAGGGGAUUGCGUCUGAUUAGCUAGUUGGAGGGGUAACGGCCCACCAAGGCGAUGAUCAGUAGCCGGUCUGAGAGGAUGAACGGCCACAUUGGGACUGAGACACGGCCCAGACUCCUACGGGAGGCAGCAGUGGGGAAUCUUCCGCAAUGGACGAAAGUCUGACGGAGCAACGCCGCGUGAGUGAUGACGGCCUUCGGGUUGUAAAGCUCUGUUAAUCGGGACGAAAGGCCUUUUUGCGAAUAGUGAGAAGGAUUGACGGUACCGGAAUAGAAAGCCACGGCUAACUACGUG
rnacentral:rRNA from 1 species